rnacentral:rRNA from 1 species
AAUGGGCGCAAGCCUGAUCCAGCAAUGCCGCGUGUGUGAAGAAGGCCUGCGGGUUGUAAAGCACUUUCAGUGGGGAAGAACGGAUGCGGGCCAAUACCCCGGAUCACUGACGUUACCCACAGAAGAAGCACCGGCUAACUCCGUGCCAGCAGCCGCGGUAAUACGGAGGGUGCAAGCGUUAAUCGGAAUCACUGGGCGUAAAGCGCACGUAGGCGGCCCGUUAAGUCAGAUGUGAAACCCCGGGGCUCAACCUGGGAAUGGCAUUUGAUACUAGCGCGCUCGAGUCUGAUAGAGGGGGGUGGAAUUCCACGUGUAGCAGAGAAAUGCGUAGAGAUGUGGAGGAACACCAAUGGCGAAGGCAGCCCCCUGGGUCGAUACUGACGCUCACGCACGAAAGCGUGGGGAGCAAA